rnacentral:lncRNA from 1 species
ACGACUCUAUGUUGAACACCCAAUUCCCAUAAUAUAGAGCAAAUAUGAAAUAAACCUUCAGCAACAAAUGUUGUCCGUUAGGGAGCUCUCUUUUAGGUCUGUCUUCCACCAACAAUCAGCACAAAUCACUAAUUUGUGCAAUAAUUUAAGGUGAAUAAAUUUGAAGCUGCAAAAUAUGGAACAAACACAUAAAAGCAUAUUCCUCUUCUACCUAGGAGUUAGUACUAUUAAUUCUGUUACCUGUAAAGUCUUUCUCUCCAGAUAAGGAAUUUUGCUUGGUCUUCCCUAGAGUUAAGAGACAUUAUUUCACAGUUGCACAACUAUUUCAAUAAUGUUAAGAAGCUUAAAUAAUUUCAUAGUUUGUGAAGCAAAAGUUCAAAUAGCUAUGCAUAAGAUAUUCCAUAGAAGGGCACAAUGAAAAUUCAAAAAACAAAGUAACAAGUGGGACGCAACAUCUAAAAGGAAUAUUUUAUAAAAAUCACAUUUGGAUUGUUUAAGGCAUAGCGUCAAACACCCUGAUUGCGAUUAAUAUGCAACUACAACACAGUUAAACCCAAUAUAUCUGUUUUAAAAUUUAUAGAAUUUGGUUUCAAGUUAACAGUGAAAAGUGGUCGAAUAAUAUUAUGUUUUAAAAUCAAUUGGCAGAAACAAUAACAGUUAGUGACAAGAGGAGUUGCUCUGAUGGUAAGCAACCCCCACUUCCAACCGAGAGGUUGUGAGUUCGGCCGGAAAAAUUUCCGGCGAAAAGCAAGAAUUCAAAACCUCUAAACAAAAAUGGGGACAAACUUGAAUAACCAAACAGUAAAGGUAAAUCUCUUUUACAAAUUAAACCCAAUAUAUCUAUUUUAAAAUUUGUAGAAUUUGGUUUCAAGUUAACAGUGAAAAGUGGUCGAAUAAUAUUAUGUUUUAAAAUCAAUUGGCAGAAAUAAUAACAGUUACUUAAUUCAGCUCUCAGUUAAGACAUGAAAAAGCUAAGAAAAUAGAAUUGGAACAUAAAAACAGAUAUCAAAUCAUCACAAAGUCGAUAAAAUAAUGAAUGAGAAGCAGAAAAACACAAAACCAAGAGAGAAGAAAAAUAAGGACUUCACGUUCUAGGUAGCAUCACUAAAGCACUGAAGGUUUCUUGUGCGCAUGCGGGAAAAAAAAUACAAAGUACUUUUCAAUAGCCCUUGAAAGGAGUUUUUCCCUUCUGUUAAUGGGCAGUUGCUUCCUACUAUAAUUGAAAAAACAUGAAAUAGGUUUAAAAAUUCAACAAUAAAUGACAACAUGACUAAGAGCAGUACUUACACGACUCUAUGCUGAACACGACUCUAUGUUGAACACCCAAUUCCCAUAAUAUAGAGCAAAUAUGAAAUAAACCUUCAGCAACAAAUGUUGUCCGUUAGGGAGCUCUCUUUUAGGUCUGUCUUCCACCAACAAUCAGCACAAAUCACUAAUUUGUGCAAUAAUUUAAGGUGAAUAAAUUUGAAGCUGCAAAAUAUGGAACAAACACUUAAAGCAUAUUCCUCUUCUACCUAGGAUAGAAGGCCAUAUAUAGAAUAUGUGAAAGAUGAUACUGAUAAAAGAGGCUUCUAUGACUAUCUUUAGCUAAAUAUUCGCCUUCUAGAACAUGCUAUCUCCACAUGAUACUCUUAUUUUCAUGGUAACAUCCUUAAUUGUGCCUUUUAAGUGCCGGAUGAAGUGCAUUUUAGUUUCUUUUUUUGUUAGUUUAUCAAUCAGGAGCAAGUCGUUUUUAUAUGUAUUGUUACGGGUUCAUUGUAACCCAAUAUAUAUAUAUAUAUACAAAAUUUACUAAAUAAAUACAAAAGACAGAUUUUUGACCCUAGUAAAUCAUGCAGAGCUCGUUCUUUUUUACAAAGACAAAACAUAAGUUUCUUUAUUCCUUCUGCUAUUCGGAAGAAAAAUACAACAACAAGGCUAGUGUGUAUGGUGACCUUACCUCUAACCCGAGAGAAUAGAGAGACUGUUUCCAAUAGACCCUUGGCUCGAGAAGAUAAAAAAAAGACAGAUUUUUUGACCCUAGUAAAUCAUGCAGAGCUUGUUCUUUUUUACAAAGACAAAACAUAAGUUUCUUUAUUCCUUUUGCUAUUCAGAAGAAAAAUACAACAACAAUGACCCAGUAGGGUCAAGCGAGGGCUAUUUCCGACAGACCCUUGGCUCGAGAAGAUAAAAAGUGACAGUAUAUCACUACCACCAACAAAAAAAUCAUAGAAAUGAUAAUAACAUUCAGAAGAAAAAUACAUUAGAGCAAAAUAAAGGAAACACCUCAAAUUAAGAGUUCCUUUUGGAAUUUACUUCAAUAAAACAACUUAAAACCUCAUAAAGCACUGAUCUUGGGAGAUACCAACAUA